rnacentral:rRNA from 2 species
ACAUACGACCAUAGGGUGUGGAGAACAGGGCUUCCCGUCCGCUCAGCCGUAGUUAAGCCACACGCCGGCCGGUUAGUAGUUGGGUGGGUGACCACCAGCGAAUCCCGGCUGUUGUAUGUU